GAUAGUGCAGUCGGUAGAGCAUGAGACCCUUAAUCUCAAGUCGUGGGUUUGAGCCCCACGUUGGGCA